rnacentral:rRNA from 1 species
AACGAACGCUGGCGGCAGGCUUAACACAUGCAAGUCGAACGCAUCGCAAGAUGAGAGGCAGACGGGUGAGUAACGCGUGGGAACAUACCCUUUUCUACGGAAUAGCUCUGGGAAACUGGAAUUAAUACCGUAUACGCCCUACGGGGGAAAGAUUUAUCGGGGAAGGAUUGGCCCGCGUUGGAUUAGCUAGUUGGUGGGGUAAAGGCCUACCAAGGCGACGAUCCAUAGCUGGUCUGAGAGGAUGAUCAGCCACAUUGGGACUGGGACACGGCCCAAACUCCUACGGGAGGCAGCAGUGGGGAAUAUUGGACAAUGGGCGCAAGCCUGAUCCAGCCAUGCCGCGUGAGUGAUGAAGGCCUUAGGGUUGUAAAGCUCUUUCACCGAUGAAGAUAAUGACGGUAGUCGGAGAAGAAGCCCCGGCUAACUUCGUGCCAGCAGCCGCAGUAACAC